rnacentral:rRNA from 1 species
AGAGUUUGAUCCUGGCUCAGAACGAACGCUGGCGGUAUGCUUAAUACAUGCAAGUCGUACGAGAAAGCCCCUUCGGGGGUGAUUAGAGUGGCGCACGGGUGAGUAACGCGUAGGUGACCUACCCUUUUGCGGGGGAUAACCCGAAGAAAUUCGAGCUAAUACCCCAUAAGCAAAAAGAAUUUGAAAAUAUUUUUGGAAAGAUGGCCUCUACUUGUAAGCAAUCACUGAAGGAUGGGCCUGCGGGACAUUAGCUUGUUGGUGGGGUAAUGGCCUACCAAGGCGACGAUGUCUAGCCGGAUUGAGAGAUUGGUCGGCCACACUGGAACUGAGACACGGUCCAGACUCCUACGGGAGGCAGCAGUAGGGAAUAUUGCGCAAUGGGCGAAAGCCUGACGCAGCAAUACCGCGUGAGUGAGGAAGGUUUUCGGAUUGUAAAACUCUGUCAAAGUGGAAAAACGGUAUAGGGUCCAAUAGGCCUUAUAUUUGAUGGUACACUUAAAGGAAGCACCGGCUAACUUCGUGCCAGCAGCCGCGGUAAUACGAAGGGUGCAAGCGUUGUUCGGAUUUAUUGGGCGUAAAGCGCGCGUAGGCGGAUUGAUAAGUCAGGUGUGAAAUCUCGGGGCUCAACCCCGAAAUUGCGCCUGAAACUGUUGAUCUAGAAUCUCGGCGGGGGGAGGGGGAUUUCGCAUGUAGGAGUAAAAUCCGUAGAGAUGCGAAGGAACACCAGAGGCGAAGGCGCCUUCCUGGACGAGUAUUGACGCUGAGGCGCGAAAGCGUGGGGAGCGAACAGGAUUAGAUACCCUGGUAGUCCACGCUGUAAACGAUGAGCACUAGGUGUAGCGGGUAUUUGACUUCUGCAGUGUCGCAGCUAACGCAUUAAGUGCUCCGCCUGGGGACUACGGUCGCAAGACUAAAACUCAAAGGAAUUGACGGGGGCCCGCACAAGCGGUGGAGCAUGUGGUUUAAUUCGACGCAACGCGAAGAACCUUACCUGGGCUUGACAUCCCCGGACAACCCUGGAAACAUUGGUCUUCCACUUCGGUGGACCGGGUGACAGGUGCUGCAUGGCUGUCGUCAGCUCGUGUCGUGAAAUGUUGGGUUAAGUCUCGCAACGAGCGCAACCCCUAUCUUUAGUUGCCAGCAUUAAGUUGGGCACUCUAGAGAGACUGCCUGGGUUAACCAGGAGGAAGGUGGGGAUGACGUCAAGUCCUCAUGGCCCUUAUGUCCAGGGCUACACACGUAAUACAAUGGUCAGUACAAAGGGAUGCGAACUCGCGAGGGGGAGCAAAUCUCAAAAAGCUGAUCUCAGUCCGGAUUGGAGUCUGCAACUCGACUCCAUGAAGUUGGAAUCGCUAGUAAUCGCGGAUCAGCACGCCGCGGUGAAUACGUUCCCGGGCCUUGUACACACCGCCCGUCACACCACGGGAGUUGAUCUUACCUGAAGUCGUGGCCCUAACCAGCUUGCUGGAGGGGAGCGCCUACGGUCGGACUGAUGACUGGGGUGAAGUCGUAACAAGGUA